ACUCUCAGCGUAUCGAGAGAGCGAGGUAGGAAAAAAUUACAGUCGGGGUUACAUAAUAACAGAAGCUCUGUUGGGUGUAUAUAUACGAGAGGUCAUCGCUAUAGUUGGAGAAAGAGUCGACCACAGUCCUUCAGGAUGUGGAGUCUCUUGGUGACAGCGGCUGCCCUGGCGGGCCCCGUUGUGGGUCUUGGGGCGAGGAUUGAGUGCGAUGCCGUCGAUGGUGACGUGUACUCGUUCGCUCACCGAUACCUCAACGGAACAGAUUUCAGCUUCGAUCAGUAUCAAGGCAAGGUCUUGAUGCUGGUCAACGUGGCCACCUACUGAGGUCUAACUUGGUCUAACUACAGAGGCCUGAAUGCACUCGCCGAGACCUACGCCGGCACUGAUCUGGUCAUCCUCGGUUUCCCUUGCAACCAGUUCGGGUUGCAAGAGCCAAGUUCCACGGAGACCGAGAUCCUCCAGGGCAUCAAGCACGUGCGCCCCGGAGAUGGCUUCGUGCCCAAGUUUGACCUCCUAGAAAAGGUCGAGGUCAACGGAAAAAAUCAAAAUGACAUCUGGAAUUGGAUGACCAGCAACUGCGGCUUCACUCAGGACAGGAUUGAGGGUGGUAUUGAAUACGACUCAAUCAACGUCCAUGAUGUUCGCUGGAAUUUCGAAAAAUUCCUUUUCGGGAGAGACGGAAAGCUCUUCGUGCGCUACAGCCACUUGCAGACACCUGAGGGUAUUUCGGACGACAUCGAUUACCUUCUGGCACAAUAGUUCUUCUGUGGUGAACACUAGCCGAUUCGUUCGUUAGCUCAGCUGGAAUGAAGGGGAAUCAACCGAGCUGACACCACAGCCUGGAAACACCUUAGGAAGCAGACAACCCCCUUCUUAUGACUGAAAAAUGAAGCCCUUGCCAUAAACCUUUGCCGGUGGGCAUGGGUGGACGUCAGCGUAGAGGGAAAUGGGUGGCUUUGAGUGCAUUCACCGCCCACUCCCGUCGUUGUGUUGUACGGGGGAGGGGUGUGUCUGCUCCAGGUGUUCCUUGAUGUGUGAGGUUUGCUGUCUCCCUUGUAAACAGCUGGGGAAAAAAUGGCGCUUUUGGCUGGUGUGUGUUUGAUAAUAAACAACUUUAAAAACC